rnacentral:rRNA from 1 species
GAUGAACGCUAGCGGCAGGCUUAAUACAUGCAAGUCGAGGGGCAGCACGGUUAGCAAUAACUGGUGGCGACCGGCGCACGGGUGCGUAACACGUAUACAAUCUACCUUAAACAGGGGGAUAGCCUUUCGAAAGAGAGAUUAAUACCCGUAAUAAAUUGAACGGCAUCGUUUGAUUUUGUAAAGCUCCGGCGGUUUGAGAUGAGUAUGCGUCUGAUUAGCUAGUUGGUGAGGUAACGGCUCACCAAGGCGACGAUCAGUAGGGGAUCUGAGAGGACUAACCCCCACACUGGUAC